AUGGACCAGUUGAUGGAGGAGUGUCGCUCCUUGAAGGACGAGUGUCUGACUCUAAAGAACGACAACAAGCAGCUCUCUGAGAAACUGGAGAUGCUGGAGCAGCAGCGAGCCAGCUCAGCUGAUUCAUGCCUGGCACUGAAACUAGAGCAGAAUGAUGGAGAAAAUGACACAGAAAAAGAUGUAGAGAAGGAGGUGAUUGCUGAGGGUUUUGUCAGCACGUUGAAAGUAGGAGGUGGGGAAUGGGUGGACGCUUAUACCCAAAAGAACAUCUCGUUUGAGGGCAAACCCAUCACCCCGACGGGCAUGAGUGGAGGGUUUUCAGAGGUGUUCUCCCUUAGAGACCAGCUGAAACAGGCCGAGGAGAAAGCAUCACAGGUCCAGAGAGAGUGUGAGGGACUAAAAGGAGAGCUUGUGGAACUGCAGGGGCUGUAUGAGAGCAGCCAGAGGGAGCGGGCGGAGCUAGAGGCGGAGCUUCAGCGCUGUAGGGCGGAGCUUGAUCGGCUGGCUGGGAGGAAGGCUCAGGAAUGGUUGUAAUAAUGGGCCUGAUAUGGUGCUGCUGGAAGGAGCUCUUGUCCUAAAGGGGGAAGGAGAGUGAGGGAGACUGGAACCUGGUGAUGGUUGUUGCGGUGGCAGCAGCAGCAGUUCUUCUCAUUCCCAAUUUCACCAGAGCUCUGGCCUGUCUUAAGAACUAGUUUGACCAACUAGCAGUUGCCAAGGGGUAAUCAGUCUUUACUUUUCCAAUACAAAUAAUAACAAUCUUACCUUUUUAACUGAAUUAAAAAAGUUAGGACCAGUCUUGAAGAAAAAAAAUUAGGUGACUAACUUUUUUAAGACUAAUCUAAACUAAACUUUUUUGCAACCGUUUGUGUUUCGUUUUCAUUGAAAUUUGUGAGUUUGUACCUGUUUCAGUUUGGUGCCAAGAUGGAAUAUAGACAGAAUCUAAUAUUAAAAUAUCAAAAAGUAAAUGUAUAUGGCCAAUAACUGUUAACAAGCUAGUAUCAACGUUCUNNNNNNNNNNNNNNNNNNNNNNNNNNNNNNNNNAGAGUGAGGGAGACUGGAACCUGUGAUGGUGUUGCGUGGCAGCAGCAGCAGUUCUUCUCAUUCCCAAUUUCACCAGAGCUCUGGCCUGAGUGCUGGACAGGAAGUGACCUCAUCAUCCCACUCUGCCCAUGGUACACAAUUCUAUCACUCCGACCUCACUUAACCACCAACGGGAACUGAAAACCAUCACUCGCCUGGGACAUACGGGAACACUAUAACACAUGGCUUCCAAACUUGGCGCUUUUUGGUGUGCAUUGUGAUGCUGGUUGCUUGCCGUUUCAACUGCUUUCCUCUGCUUUUGUAGACAAUCAUAUCCGUUUCGACCAGCAGUGCUACAGACACUGACGCCAUGCUGUGGGUAUUUAAAUGGUCAGAAUGAAGGACGACUCCAAGAGCUUCUGAUUGGUCUGACUCCCGCUUUCCAUUUCAUCAGUUGUUUUUUUCUUUCCAAAAACUAUUUGCCUUAUCACUUUACGAUAGAACAUUUGCACAUUUUACCUCUAUAAACAGAUUCCUGAUCUCUUUGGGACCGAAGAGGACACCAUUCUUCAUCAACAAUGCUUUGGAUGCAGGAUAUUGCUUUGUGCUUCAUUACUUUUCGAUUAGGUAGGAGCAUGCAGUACUUAUUUAAUCUUCCUGGAUCUUCCCAUUUUGAAUAAUUACGUACCGAAGUUUCAAUACUGUCAGAAUUGUUUGUGUUUAGGUUCAAUAACCAAGAACUUCCUUCAGUUUAGACCAUGGCAUGUUCUCUUUGGUUUCUAACUCAAAAGCUCUGUAGUUAACUGUACAGUACUUCUCUAUAUGCUAGCAAAGGAGAUGUGCUCACGUGAUGCAUACUAUUUGUCAUUUUUACAUUCAUUUUGCUGAAAAAAAUCCAGAGUUUGAAGACUCCAGGUGGGUUAAGGUUAUUCCAGCAGGUAACCGUGCUUAUUUUAAACUUACAGAUAUUUUUGUAGCUGAAUUGUUUAUUCCAAGACAUGAAAUUUGUAGAUUGAUUUUGUGUGUGAAGAUUGAUAAAUGAUGCUAAAGAGUGAUAGAUAUUUUUAUACAAGGAUUGAAUAAUGUACAAGCUAAUAGAACACUAAAAGAACUCUGAAAUGAGUGUAAUGAACAAGCACAGAUCUACUGUAAUUCCAUGAUGCAUUGAUAAUUAUUUGCUGUUGUUGUAUUUAUUUUUAAGUUUUUGCAUGUUUGCAAUGAAAAAAACGCAGAUGACUUAUAUGUCUAUACAAUCUCAUUUUUACAGAAAGAACAAAAUGUCAUGAACUGGUGGUUCUCAACUGGUGCCGGGACCCAAAAAUAAAUUGCAGGCCAUUUUUUCAGGAAGAAUUAUUCUAAAUUAAAGUUAAAAUACUGUAGCAAAAUGAAAAAGCUUAUAAAAAUGACCUGAAAUGCAUAUCUUUUGUAGUCAGUAAAUCUUCCCAAAUCAUAUCAUUGCACCUAUGCAGUUCACGCUAAUAUACAUUUUUAAAAUAAAAAUGACCUGAAAUGCAUAUCUUUUGUAGUCAGUAAAUCUUCCCAAAUCAUAUCAUUGCACCUCAAAAUAGAAAAAGACUUAUAAAAAUGACCUGAAAUGCAUAUCUUUGUAGUCAGUAAAUCUUCCCAAAUCAUUAUCAUUGCACCUAAUGACAGUUCACGCUAAUAUAACAUUUUUAAAUAAAAAUGACCUGAAAUGCAUAUCUUUUGUAGUCAGUAAAUCUUCCCAAAUCAUAUCAUUGCACCUAUGCAGUUCACGCUAAUAUACAUUUUUGACAUUAUUUUUAAAUACUAAAAAUUUUUUAGUUGUGUAUUUGGUUGCCACUUGAUGUCAAUGUGAAAACCAGUUGAGAACUACUGUCAUAAACCCUUACAGAAAACCAUAACAAAGAUGUUUCUUACAAUGCAAUUUAAAUCUGUAGCAUAAAAAAAUAGCAUGAAUUGAUUAUCUAGAUAAUAAUAGUGCUAGAAGCAGAAACUUCCAUACUGCCUUUCACCAAAAAAAGUUAUAAUGGUAAGAAACUUGUCUUAUAUUAUAUAUACUUCACUAAAGACGUUUAGAACUGAGAAAUAUGUACUUAUAUGUAGCUUUUUACAUCAGAAAUUACAAUUUUGAGGUCUUUGUGUGGAUUUGGAUUAUUACAGAUGUACCUUGCUUUAUGAAGAUUAAUAAUAGUGUCACUGAACUUAUAUCCAUGUAAUGGUUCUAGUAAAUGAAUGCGUUAAGCCUUGAGGUACUAUUGUUAUGAACAGAAUCUAUGACUUUAUACAUACAGUAUCUAUCGCUAUAUAAUCAUUUCUG
rnacentral:lncRNA from 1 species